GCCACCCCGCCUCCUCCUCCUCCAGGCCGGCGCCGCCCCGCCUCCUCCUCCAGCCCAUCGCGGCCCCGCCUCCUCCUCCAGCCCGUCGCGGCCCCGCCUCCUCCUCCUCCUCCCGCUCGGAUCCCACAGCGAUCCGGCCGCCACAAGCCCCGAACGCGGCCAUCCCCACCAGAUCCGGCGGCCACCGGCCUGGGCACGGCCAAUAGCACUGGAUCCGGCGGCCACCGGCCUGGGCACGGCCAAUAGCACCGGAUCCGGUGCCGCUACCGAAGCCACACUGGCCAUCUACGUGCGAGCAUCUCCGGCGUUGGGGCGUGCUGGGAACCGCCACGCCUUGCUCCUCCAACAUGCCAGAGACGCGAAGGAGAGGAUCCCCUGACCCCCCUGCCAACCAUCGCAGCAUGCGACCUCCUCUUCCUUCGAGCUCGCCGGCCCCCUCAUCUCCUACAACCAUGAAGUCCGACGACCACCGCCGUGCAGCUCGGACAAGUGGGCAAAUGCAAUGAAGUUCCUUGCUCGUGCGUGUGUUGUUCGAUGGAUACAAGUGCACUGCAGCUCCUCCGAGGUGGGGAGGCGGCGAUGACUCUCAUUUUUUAGCCCCCGACGAGCUGCCCCUCCUCCAUUUGCAGCCCAACCGCCCCGGCCUUGCAGUGCACCGGCGCGAGCAAUGCUGUUUCACGCGUUGCAGAGCAGUUGCCCCUCAUCCAAAAAGAUAGGCGGUGCAGUCCGCCGUCCUCCUCCCACAUGCCCGCGAGUGCACUGCUGUUGGGCGCCCGUGAAUCAGCGGUGAAUGUCGUAAAGUACGCAUCAACGAUAGGCGUAGCAACCAUUCCAGAAUUUUGGUUGUUGUUGAUGUAGUGCAAUGCACCUCUUCGUGUAGUUUGGCUCUAUUUUUUGCAGCCCACUUUUGCUAGUCUAUUUUGCAGCCCACUUUUGCUCGUCCCGACCAGUCGACGGGGCUCCUGUCCGACCACUUAAGAUACUUUUGAAGUUCUGUAAUCGUGGUCGUGCAGUCUAUCACUUUGAUUCAGUAUGUAAAAAUGGGGAAAGAGAAACCAGGUAGUUCCUUACUCUCGACAACGGAACCUAGAUUCGAGUUGUGUGCAGAUUUGGAACAUGAGAAAAAUGUAGUCCCCUUGUUGCCAAAAAAACAGCAAAAACGUUGAAUCUUUUUCAUACAA